GUACAGAGCCUACAACUCAUUUCACCUUCUAGUCUGUAUCAUCAACUUUUAAAUAUUUUAAUACAAUAUUCUAUGCAAGGGGGAAUUUCCUCACUUCCUCCUUGCUUACUUUCAAAAAAAAAACAACCUUGGUAUCUUCUGGUUGAAUUAGUUCACUUGGAAAGUUCGUGUGGGAUGGACCCGGCUGCUUGAUGCUAUGGUGUUUGUCAUUGGGUUUUCAUUGUUUCAGAUUGUCUCUCCAUUCUUUCCUUACUUGAGACAUUUUUUGUUUUUUAUUUACUCCUCUGCAAUCUCUGCUUUCCUACUCUCUUCUUCCUCAUGUACAUUCAGUUCAAAUAAAUGCUAGGGGGCUGCUGUUGCAGCUUCCCUUACCAUCCAACAAAAAAGGGAAAAAAAAAACAUUCCAGAAAGAAUACACGAGUGCAUAGGCUCCUUGAAGAUUGUUCGAGGAGCACCAGACCCUAUGGCUUAAUGCAAUGCACGUUACCAUGACUGCAGUUGUAUAUGGU
rnacentral:lncRNA from 1 species